rnacentral:piRNA from 1 species
UCACACGUUCCUUUUGUAAAGUAGGCU